rnacentral:rRNA from 1 species
AUACGGAGGGUGCAAACGUUGCUCGGAAUUAUUGGGCGUAAAGCGCGUGUAGGCGGUCCGCCAAGUCGGAUGUGAAAGCCCUGGGCUCAACCCGGGAAGUGCGUUCGAAACUGCUUGGCUAGAGUCUCGGAGAGGAAGGCAGAAUUCCCGGUGUAGGGGUGAAAUCCGUAGAUAUCGGGAGGAAUACCAGUGGCGAAGGCGGCCUUCUGAACGAUGACUGACGCUGAGACGCGAAAGCGUGGGGAGCAAACAGGAUUAGAAACCCCAGUAGUCC